UUCGCACAGCACAAAGCCACUAUCAAUCGUAGUCAAACCACCAUCGCCAUCAGUCAGCAGAAGCGAAAGUUGGUGAAAAUCAACGUGGCCGUGUCGAACGAUCUGCUAAUUUGCGAAUCACACGCUGACAACGGAGGAAUUACUCAGUGCACGCUCCUACAUAAGAAUCAAAUCAGUUACCAUCAUAAAGAACGAUUAUAACGCUUCGGAUGGUCAAGCAGCGAGAAAAACUCUGAUCCCGAGCCCACCACUGGACCGAUAAUCACACCAUCAGUGUGAACGGUCAAAACGCGAUAUCGCGAAAGCGCAUGGUCGGUGAUCGCAGCAUCGGGCAACGAAAACUGAAAACGGGGCUCUUUGUUUCGAUUAUUCUCCAAACAGGCUUAAUAGUCAGACGACUCGCGUCAUUGUUGACCUUGAACUUGAAUCAGGGACGUGUGCAUGUGUGCGAUGGUGGACCAUCACGGUGGAAUAAUUUGGAUGUGAUGCGGUGCGUGGUGCAAGACCAAUAGUGAGGAGUGAGCCGUGAGAUCUAUACAUCGGCGACGACAACGGUGUGAGCAGAAGGACUGGAGCUGUGCUUGUGUGCGACGCGGAGUCAGUGAAACUGAAUGGGAAUAUUUUCCAAUAAGAAUGAGCGCCGCUGGCGACGAAGAAAGCAUGCAUGCUAGAGAGAUAGCUCAACGGGCCCGUGAGUAAAAGUACAUAACCAUAAGAUGAACCUAGGUUAAGAAGAAGAUUUUUGGUAAAGAAACUGCUUGUAUAGAAUUAAGAUCAAACACGAAUGGAUAUAUAAAGAGCUUUGCUAUGAAUGAAA